GCCCCCGCCGCCGGGUCAACGCGGGCCCGCGCGCCCCCGGCGCGCGUCGCCCCGGGGCCGUCCGCUCCCCCGCAGGUCACAGCCGUGCGGGAGCC
rnacentral:tRNA from 1 species